GAUGAACGCUAGCUACAGGCUUAACACAUGCAAGUCGCGGGGCAGCAUGGGGGUUGCUUGCAACUCCCGAUGGCGACCGGCGCACGGGUGAGUAACGCGUAUCCAACCUGCCCUUCACCACGGGAUAACCCGGCGAAAGUCGGACUAAUACCGUAUGUUGUCCAUUGACGGCAUCCGAUCUGGACGAAAGGCUUUGCGGUGAAGGAUGGGGAUGCGUCCGAUUAGCCAGACGGCGGGGUAACGGCCCACCGUGGCUACGAUCGGUAGGGGUUCUGAGAGGAAGGUCCCCCACACUGGAACUGAGACACGGUCCAGACUCCUACGGGAGGCAGCAGUGAGGAAUAUUGGUCAAUGGGCGUAAGCCUGAACCAGCCAAGUAGCGUGCAGGAUGACGGCCCUAUGGGUUGUAAACUGCUUUUAUGCGGGGAUAAAGUGGCCCACGUGUGGGCUUUUGCAGGUACCGCAUGAAUAAGGACCGGCUAAUUCCGUG
rnacentral:rRNA from 1 species